CCUACGGGAGGCAGCAGUGAGGGAUAUUGCGCAAUGGGCGAAAGCCUGACGCAGCGACGCCGCGUGAGUGAUGAAGGCCUUCGGGUCGUAAAGCUCUGUCAGAGGGGAAGAAAUGCAGGUGGUGAACAACCAUUCUGUUUGACGGUACCCUCAAAGGAAGCACCGGCUAACUCCGUGCCAGCAGCCGCGGUAAUACGGAGGGUGCGAGCGUUGUUCGGAAUUAUUGGGCGUAAAGCGCGUGUAGGCGGUUUGUUAAGUCUGAUGUGAAAGCCCCGGGCUCAACCGGGAAAGUGCAUGGGAUACUGGCAGACUUGAGUACGGGAGAGGAGAGUGAAAUUCCCAGUGUAGGAGUAAAAUCCGUAGAUAUGGGGAGGAACACCGGUGGCGAAGGCGGCUCUCGGGCCCGAUACUGACGCUGAGACGCGAAAGCGGGGGGAGCAAACAGGAUUAGAUCCCCGGGUAGU
rnacentral:rRNA from 1 species